rnacentral:rRNA from 1 species
ACGUACUGGUAUCAUUGGUUUCUCCUUUCUGACGAGCCAUGAUGUCAUUAAUUUGGUGUUAUGGGGAGUUAGGACUGUUACUUUGAAAAAAUUAGAGUGUUUAAAGCAGGCUUUAGCUUGAAUACAUUAGCAUGGAAUAAUGAAAUAGGACGUUUGAUUCUAUUUUGUUGGUUUCUAGGAUCGACGUAAUGAUUAAUAGGGAUAGUUGGGGGCAUUAGUAUUCAAUUGUCAGAGGUGAAAUUCUUGGAUUUAUUGAAGACUAACUACUGCGAAAGCAUUUGCCAAGGAUGUUUUCAUUAAUCAAGAACGAAAGUUAGGGGAUCGAAGACGAUCAGAUACCGUCGUAGUCUUAACCAUAAACUAUGCCGACUAGGGAUCGGAUGAUGUUAAUUUUUUAAUGACUCAUUCGGCGCCUUACG